rnacentral:rRNA from 1 species
UGGGGAAUAUUGGACAAUGGGCGCAAGCCUGAUCCAGCCAUGCCGCGUGUGUGAAGAAGGCCUUAUGGUUGUAAAGCACUUUAAGCGAGGAGGAGGCUACUUUAGUUAAUACCUAGAGAUAGUGGACGUUACUCGCAGAAUAAGCACCGGCUAACUCUGUGCCAGCAGCCGCGGUAAUACAGAGGGUGCAAGCGUUAAUCGGAUUUACUGGGCGUAAAGCGCGCGUAGGCGGCUAAUUAAGUCAAAUGUGAAAUCCCCGAGCUUAACUUGGGAAUUGCAUUCGAUACUGGUUAGCUAGAGUGUGGGAGAGGAUGGUAGAAUUCCAGGUGUAGCGGUGAAAUGCGUAGAGAUCUGGAGGAAUACCGAUGGCGAAGGCGACCACCUGGGCUCAUACUGACACUGAGGUGCGAAAGCGUGGGGAGCAAACAGG